rnacentral:rRNA from 1 species
AGUGAACGCUGGCGGCGUGCCUAAUACAUGCAAGUCGAACGGAGUGGCGCACGGGUGAGUAAUAUAUAGCUAAUCUGCCCCUUGCUGGAGGACAACAGUUAGAAAUGACUGCUAAUACUCCAUAGCAAGGGAUGGGACUAUAUCGUAUCAGCUAGUCGGGGGGGUAACGGCCUACCGAGGCUAUGACGCGUAACUGGUGUGAGAGGAUGAGCAGUAGCAUUGGAACUGAGGCACGGUCGAGACUCCUACGAGAAGGGGCAGUAGGGAAAAUUGCGCAAGGGGGGAAACCCUAACACGGCAACGCCGCGUAGAGGAUGACACUUGUCGGAGCAUAAGCUCCUUUUGUUAGGGAAGCGGUACCUGACGAAUAAGCACCGGCUAACUCCGUGCCAGCAGCCGCGGUAAUAC